rnacentral:rRNA from 1 species
UGGGGAAUAUUGCACAAUGGACGGAAGUCUGAUGCAGCGACGCCGCGUGGGGGAUGAAGGCUUUCGGGUUGUAAACUCCUUUCAGUACAGAAGAAGCUCUAUUGUGACGGUAUGUGCAGAAGAAGCGCCGGCUAACUACGUGCCAGCAGCCGCGGUAAUACGUAGGGCGCGAGCGUUGUCCGGAAUUAUUGGGCGUAAAGAGCUCGUAGGCGGUUUGUCGCGUCUGCUGUGAAAGACCGGGGCUUAACUCCGGGGCUGCAGUGGGUACGGGCAGGCUGGAGUGCGGUAGGGGUAACCGGAAUUCCUGGUGUAGCGGUGGAAUGCGCAGAUAUCAGGAGGAACACCGAUGGCGAAGGCAGGUUACUGGGCCGUUACUGACGCUGAGGAGCGAAAGCAUGGGGAGCGAACAGG